rnacentral:rRNA from 1 species
GGGGACGGAGAAGGCUAUGUUGGCCGGGCGACGGUUGUCCCGGUUUAAGCGUGUAGGCUGGUUUUCCAGGCAAAUCCGGAAAAUCAAGGCUGAGGUGUGAUGACGAGGCACUACGG